AGCGUCCACCGCAUGGGGGGUGUUGGAAAAUUUAUCGGUUUUGGAUGGACUCCGGCCUAUCAGCUUGUUGGUGAGGUAAGGCUCACCAAGCGACGACGGGUCACCGGCCUGAGAGGGUGACCGGCCACCCUGGGACUGAGACACGGCCCAGACUCCUACGGGAGGCAGCAGUGGGGAAUAUUGCACAAUGGGCGAAAGCCUGAUGCAGCGACGCCGCGUGAGGGAUGACGGCCUUCGGGUUGUAAACCUCUUUCAGUAGGGAAGAAGCGAAAGUGACGGUACCUGCAGAAGAAGCACCGGCUAACUACGUGCCAGCAGCCGCGGUAAUACGUAGGGUGCGAGCGUUAUCCGGAAUUAUUGGGCGUAAAGAGCUCGUAGGCGGUUUGUCGCGUCUGUCGUGAAAGUCCGGGGCUUAACCCCGGAUCUGCGGUGGGUACGGGCAGACUAGAGUGCAGUAGGGGAGACUGGAAUUCCUGGUGUAGCGGUGGAAUGCGCAGAUAUCAGGAGGAACACCGAUGGCGAAGGCAGGUCUCUGGGCUGUAACUGACGCUGAGGAGCGAAAGCAUGGGGAGCGAACAGGAUUAGAUACCCUGGUAGUCCAUGCCGUAAACGUUGGGCACUAGGUGUGGGGACCAUUCCACGGUUUCCGCGCCGCAGCUAACGCAUUAAGUGCCCCGCCUGGGGAGUACGGCCGCAAGGCUAAAACUCAAAGGAAUUGACGGGGGCCCGCACAAGCGGCGGAGCAUGCGGAUUAAUUCGAUGCAACGCGAAGAACCUUACCAAGGCUUGACAUGUUCUCGAUCGCCGUAGAGAUACGGUUUCCCCUUUGGGGUGGGUUCACAGGUGGUGCAUGGUUGUCGUCAGCUCGUGUCGUGAGAUGUUGGGUUAAGUCCCGCAACGAGCGCAACCCUCGUUCCAUGUUGCCAGCACGUCGUGGUGGGGACUCAUGGGAGACUGCCGGGGUCAACUCGGAGGAAGGUGAGGGCGACGUCAAAUCAUCAUGCCCCUUAUGUCUUGGGCUUCACGCAUGUUACAAUGGCCGGUACAAUGGGUUGCGAUACUGUGAGGUGGAGCUAAUCCCAAAAAACCGGUCUCAGUUCGGAUUGGGGUCUGCAACUCGACCCCAUGAAGUCGGAGUCGCUAGUAAUCGCAGAUCAGCAACGCUGCGGUGAAUACGUUCCCGGGCCUUGUACACACCGCCCGUCAAGUCACGAAAGUUGGUAAC
rnacentral:rRNA from 1 species